UGGGGAAUAUUGCACAAUGGGGGAAACCCUGAUGCAGCGACGCCGCGUGAGUGAAAGAAGUAAUUCGUUAUGUAAAGCUCUAUCAGCAGGGAAGAAACAGACGGUACCUGAGUAAGAAGCCCCGGCUAACUACGUGCC
rnacentral:rRNA from 1 species